GGCGCUCGAGGUCGAGGAGAUCCGCGUCGACAAGGAGACCAUGGAGAUGCUCGCGGCCCUCGGCAUGGCCGACCUCCCCGGCGUCGAGCGCCAGCAAGAGGUCUCCAACGCCCCCGCCUACGGCCGCCCGCAGUACGGUGGUCCCCGCCGUGACCGCGUCUAGGCUUCACGCUGUUAUCGCCGUGGUUGCCUCUUGAUCUGCCAUUCGUAGUUACUAUGCUACUUUGUUAAACUUAUCUUUGGUUGCUUCUGAGGCGGUUAAGUUUUGAACUUGUGUUAUGCUAUAAAUUCUUAAGUGUUUGGGUCUGCGUGUGAUGGACAUGAGAUUUAUAUUCUCGCGCCAAUGAAGUCUUAAGAUAUUUUAUAAGUUACUAUGAGAUGUUCCUACAUUUUUGUUUGUUUGCUCGUUAUCGUGCAUGUGACAUAGGGAUAUCUGAUUUAGUAAAUUGCAUGCCUUUAGAUCUAUAUUUAAAUUGGUGUUGCUGGUUUGUUCAUUGUGUCCUAUGCAGAUUAAAUCUGUUCGAUAUUCAUUCCAUCGCUGUACAAUUCCAUGCUGCCUAGGUGUGUGGCUGUUAGCUAGGGCUGCUGUGAUCUGGGUUGAUGAAGUCUUAUCAGUCCAAUGAGAUUUAGUUACAGUGUUACACAUUUUCAAUUUAAUUAGUUCUUUUCUAGUGAACUGAAUUGGCUGGCCAUAUUUGUUAGCCUCUUUUGAACACAUGCAAUUGGGUUUGCUUUCUUUCAAGUAUUACCAUAACCUUUUCUUAUGGCAUAGCAUUUUCACUUUCAUAUCUGCCAUACGCUUGUCCUUCAUGUCGUCAGCACUGGUUUUUUCAGUCCUUCGUUUCUAGUACUUUCACUUUCAUCCAUAUUUGCCAUAAACGUUCUACAUGUUGUCAGCACUGUGGUCAUUUCAUUUCUUUGUUUCUAUAUAGGAAACAUAGCUUGCUUGAAUCUAAUUGGUUAAUUUUGUUUCAUUUAAGUAGUUUAAAAUAACUUGGGGUUAAAAUUCAUUGUUAAUGCUGAAAUCUUUCUAUGAUACAGAGGUAAAUAGUGAUAUGUUGGUACAGCAUUAAAGUGGAUUUUUUCUUGAAUUCAAAAAUACCAUGUUUGUUUGUAUGUCAUGCCAAUUGUACAUUGUUUGAUGAUGUUUGGUUUUGUAGAAUGUUGCUUCUAUUUUAUGAAUAAUAUUGUUCAACUUGUUGCUUUAAAUCCAUAAAUCUCAGCUUCAUUAGUUUCACAAGAUAUGCUUGUUCUGAACUGCUGGAGGUGCAAGCCUCAUAUUUUUGUCCAGCAAGCAAAGUGGUGCCUGUCUGAUUCUUUUUUACUUUAAUCUGUUACCGUUUGUUUUAUUUUUGCGGGCAGAGUUUGGUGUUUAUUUUUUGGGGGCAGAGUAGAGGAAUAAAGAUGAUCGCUGAUGAGCCGUGUGAGGCUGUAUGAAUUAUGGAAUUAAUAUAAACACAACCUGAUUAGCAUCAGGAAUCAUUUGCUUUUGCCAAGUUUGUUUUUUUGUAUGGUUCCUGUUGUUUGCCAUAGGUAAUAUUGCUCCCCUAAGUUAAACAUGUUGCAGAUCUGUGGUUUAACUUUUUUACAUGGUUGCUUCUGUUGUGUUGAGCAUUAAACUUACCAGUUAUGGUAAAAUUUAAAAUUCUUUAGUCCGUGAUGGACGCUGUUUUGAAAACUGAGUAUGAGAUGUUGGGACUUGCAAUUAUUCAUGUGUAUUAUUCUGACUGCUGAAAUGUGAAAGCUGCCUUUAUUGUUGACCGCUGAAAUGUGGUGUAACGGUUAGCGAUUUCUGUACAAUGGUUGGCCGUGGUGCCGCGGUAUUUUGUCUCGACCUACAAAUUCGUAUACAGCUCUACACAUACGUUUAUAGGCGAUUUAGAUUUGUUUCACUCUAAUCUUACGCAAGCGUUCAUUUUUUCUUGAUUUUCGGCCUCGGGCCAACAUGGAAAGGCGAGUAGAAGACUUGCAAAGUGACAGCCGGUGUAUCCUGCGUGCUGAUCUUGCACAGGAAAGUGCCCCAAAUAUUGUUUUCCAUCCGUCAUUUGGGCUUUGUAGACCCAUAUUUCGUCUUGCAUUUUAAGGAAAUGACUCGAAACAGUAGAUUAUAAAUCGCUGUAGACAAGAUAUAAUCAAAUUUUAAUCAUCGACUAGGAUAAGACUAUUUCUGAAACGGUGAAGAUUACAAAGGCGUGAGGCAACUCAACUGAUGUUGCAUCAGGACACAACUCUACAAGGCCGUGGAUCCGUGUAUAUGCCAGAAUGAUUGGUAUGGUGCGGGUGCCAUCCGGCUCCACUAGCCUUGCUGGCCCUAAAAAUUUUGGUUCCGAGGAGCCGACGACUCCAUGUUCCAGGUCAACUCCGGUUCUCCGCCUCAGAGGCAGCUUGCCCGCCCACCUUCGUUAGCCGGCCGCUGGGGCGCCGGCGCUAGCAUCGCCGCAUGCCGGCAGCCGGCAGGUUUGACCAGUGACUAGUGCGUGUCCUUCCUCUAGCCUCUUUAUCUCAGGUUUCAUUCCUCGCUUUGGUCUGGUGCAUCUUAUGCUAAGGCCUCGUUUAGUUCACCUCAAAAACAAAAAAAUAAAAAUUUUUAAGAUUUUUUGUUACAUUAAAUCUUGCAGCAUAUGCAUGGAGCAUUAAAUAUAGAUUAAAAUAAAAAUUAAUUGUACAGUUUGUCUGUAAAUCGUAAGACGAAUCUUUUAAGCCUAGUUACUCUAUGGUUGAACAAUGUUUGUCAAAUAAAAACGAAAGUGCUACAGUAGCCCAAAGCAAAAAAAUUUGGGAACUAUAGUUCAUAAAAUUUUUUAAGAUUCCUUGUCACAAAUCUAGCAUUUUUGUUUUUAUUUGACAAACAUUGUCCAAUCGUCGACUAACUAAGCUCAAAAGAUUCAUCUCGCGAUUUACAGUGUGUAAUUAGUUUUUGUUUUCAUCUAUAUUUAAUAUUCAAUGCAUGUGCCGUAAGUUUUGAUGUGACAGAGAAUCUUGAAAAUUUUUUGGUAGUUUUUGGGAACUAAUCAAGGCCAUAGACGAAAAUAAAAACUAAUUGCACAAUUAGACUGUAAUUUGCGAGGUGAAUCUUUUGAACCUAGUUUGUCCGUGAUUGGACAAUAAUUAUCAAAUACAAACAAAAGCGCUACGGUAGUCAAAAGCCAAAAUUUUUGCGAUAUACAACAAGGCAUAAUUUUGCUCGGCGUAUUUUGGGCUCGAUAGGUACUUACUUUCACAGUACAUAGCAGUCCGAUUCUUUUGUUUGUAGGAGUUGGAAAAAGAUUGGAAUAGGUCAUUUAUAGAUCUGAUAUAUUCUUAUAAGAAAAUUAAAGGUGAUCACUGAUUUUAAUAGGUGCACCAGAAGUUAAGAAGCACUGGAUUGUGAUUUAUGAUCGCCACGCACCGAAGUUUGGCUUCUGGUGAUGUUUACGCUGAUUAGUUGAGAGAAAAACAUUUAGUACUGUUAAAGUAGUGUUGAAAAAUAUGGUGUUUUCUUUAAUUCAGUUUUGAGAGGAAAACUCGACUUGACUACAAGAGCUCAAUGACCCUUCUACUUUUCUUUUCUCUUUUCUUCUCAUCUACUAGUAGAAUACAGUGGCAUCACAAAAAUAAAAGAUUUGGGCCUUGUUUAGUUCCGAAAAUUUUUUGGUUUUCGAAACUGUAGCACUUUCAUUUUUAUUUGACAAACAUUAUCCGAUCCUAGAGUAACUAGGCUUAAAAGAUUCAUCUCGCGAUUUACAAAUAAACUGUGCAAUUAGUUUUUACUUUCGUCUAUAUUUAGUGCUUUAUGCAUGUGCUGCAAGAUUCGAUGUGAAGGGAAAUCUUGAAAAGUUUUUGGAUUUUGGGGUGAACUAAACAAGUCCCAUUGAUCGGUUUUCUUUGGACAUGUGUAGAUUCGAAAGAUGGGGAAAAUCCUGCAUACCACUACUGAAUGUUGAUUACUGCAUCCACUGUCCCAAUGGGAACCAUGACCAUUUUUUAAAAACUAAACGGCCGGAGCACUACCAUAUCAUUUAAGGAGAGGAAGCAUAUCAUUUGAGGAGAAGGAGCAAACGGAGUUUUACAAAAGUGUUACAUGGCCUUGUUUAGUUCUCAUUUAAAUUUUCUUUCAUCCCAUUCCAUUGAGGCCUUGUUUACUUCCAACAUUUUUUACAAAAUAUGAAUAGUAGCACUUUCGUUUAUAUCUGACAAAUAUUAUCCAAUUAUAGACUAACUAGGCUCAAAAGAUUCGUCUCGUCAAUUCCGAUCAAACUGUGCAAUUAGUUUUUAUUUUCAUCUAUAUUUCAUACUCCAUGCAUACGUUUAAAGAUUCGAUGUGACGGAGAAUCUGAAAAAUUUUGCAAAAUUUUUUGGAAACUAAACAAGGCCUGAAUGUUGGACAUAUGCAUGAAGCAUUAAAUAUAGAUAAAACACUAUUGUACAGUUUUUAUGUAUUUGCGAGAUGAAUCUUUUGAGCCUAGUUAGUCUAUGACUAAACACUAUUCCCUCUAUCCUGCAAUAGAGUGCACUAUGACUUCUAAAAUUUAUAUUGAAAUACAAUGUAUUCUAUAUAAUGACUGUUUCGAUUUAACAAAGUUUGUUAAAAAGAAAGUCAUGAUUUGAGGAGAAAUUUUAUAAUUGAAAUAAUCUAUGGGGAUGUGUUCCCUUAAGUUAUCUUAAAAUUUUUAGAACGCACCAUAUUAGAUGCCUGGUUUGAGCGUUAUACAUGUGCUAUAAUACCCAAAAACUUUUUAGGGUGAACUAAACAUGCCCUAUAUAACAGAUAGAACUUGACAUAUAUUCUCAGUAAAGCAAGCCUCCUGAGAUGAAUCUCCUCCUUUAUCAAGCCGAACACUUGACGCUGUGAAAGCGUCCAUCCUUCAACAAUUCUCCGGUUUCGCUCAUGCCAGAUGUUCCAGGUUGCAUACAUAUGAAAGGCCGCGGUUGUUCUUUGUUGGUUGGAGUCUAUUCCUUGCAGCACUGAUGCCCACCAUUCCUCCAGAGUGAUGAGAUCGUCAGUAGCCGGCGCGAGAGGGGCUACCACCAACCCAAGAACUCAUGAGAGUUCAAACUUCGUUGGCAAACCGGCAUUAGAGGCAAAGAUGCGUCGUAGAUUCAGGUUCAUGAUCACAAGACGCACACAACGUUGCAGGUCGAUUCCGCUUGGCCAAAUUGUCGCCGGUUAGAAUCUUUUCUUGAACACAAAGGAACCAGGCGAAGAAUAUGUGCUUUCCUUCAGCGUGCACCUUCCAGAUAGAUUUUUCACUGAAUGUGCAGUAGGAUCCCCUGAAUAUGCCGAUUUAGCACUACAUUCUCCAUAUGCAGUAGGAUCCCCUGAAUGUGUGCACCUUCCAAAUAUGCCGAUUUAGCACUAUAUUCUCCAUUUGAUGUCCACUUCCAUUCAAUUUUGUCUGCCUGAUUAGAUAGCUGAACGUGCUGAACAAGGUCCCAAAGAUGAAUAGAUUCUGCCAUUUGCUGUACUGAUUCCAUUCACCAAAGACCCCUUGUUCAGUUAUGGUUGGUCACAUCAUCCCUGACUGAUCGAUCUCUUCUUUCCUCAUGCAAGUGGAUACAGACUUGGAGCCAGAUCCAUGGGGGCUUUACCAUUUAAGAACUGUGCCAUGACAUUUCUGAAACCUUGAUAUUGGCCUAAUUAAUACAUCCACGGUUACCUUUUCAUAUGCGCAGAGAGAAUGACCACAAUUAAUGUGAUCCAUGCUUCUUUGUUAUUUGUUUCAAGUGUGUUGCCGGACCUCUCUUUAACCUAAUACCAUUGUGCCCUAUACAUAUGUUUCAUUUAGAGUCUGCUAAGGGUCAUUAUUAGCAAAACCAUAUGUGCCUUUUUUUUCUUGUGUUAAUGACAACUGGGCCUUAAAGAGCUAGCAAAACCAAUGGCAAACAAUGACAAUCAUUUGAAAUUGUGCGGAUUAGGUAUCUUAGUACUUUUGCUAAAAAAAGUAUCUUGGUACUUAAGAAAGAGUGAUAUGUAUGGAUUUUGUUUUUCAAGAAAGACAAUUCAAAUACUAGCUACUUCUUCCGUCCCUUUUUAAUUGCCGCUUGCGCUUUCCAAAAAACAAUUGUCGGCAAUUAUAUAUUAAAAAAUAUUAAUAUUUAUAAUACAUAAUUAGUAUCAUUAGAAAGAUAUUUGAAUUUAGUUUUUUAAUAAAUUUAUUUGGAGAUACAAAUGUUACACGUAUUUUCUACAAAUCGAGUCAAACUUGUGAUACAAACACCAACGACGACAAUUAAAAAGAGACAUAGUGAGUACGUUACUAAUAAGGUUCCCGGUUUAUUUUUAGACGGCAUAAGAAUCUAUGCUAACCGAGCCUAUGAACCUCUCUAGAUUACUUUACUCCUAGUACAUAAGAAGAUAAGAUCAUAAGAGUAAUAUAAUAGCGGUCUCACUAAAUAGCGAACGUUCAUCAGAUUUGAAUCUAGCGAACGAUCAGACAGCCCCUACAACUUUCCUUUUUUGGCAAAAGAAGAAAUCCCGCAAUUUUCUAUUUUUGGAAAGUUUUCUAUUUUAGGCAAAAAAAUCGCUACUUUUCUUUUUUGAAAAUUUGUACUCACAACUUUUACGUAAAACUUAUGGAACAGACUUUUACGUAUGACUCAUACAUGACUUUAAUAUAUACCUUCACUGUGACAAAGUUACACACAUAACUUAUACAUAUAACUUACUACAUGAUAAAGUUAUACGCAUAACUUUUAUCUAUAAUAUUUUAUGGAACAAGUUUAUCAACAUAAUUUAUGACGAGACAAUUUAGCGAAAGUUCAAAAAAGUUACAACUAAAACUUAAGCAGAUAAUUUAAUUAAACCAAUUUUAACAUAUAAGUUAAUAACUGCAAGUUAAGCACAAAAUAUAAUAAAUCAAAUAGCUUUGCAAAAAGUUAGACAUAAAAGAUUAUAAUUAUAAGUUAAUAUCUACUAGUUACAUGUAGAAAGUUAAAUAUAAAAAUUGUGUACAGAAAGUUAGAUAUAAAAGUUACGUGCAAAAAGUAAAUAAUUAUAAAAUUUACAUCUAGCAUUUGAAAAUAAAUGUUUUACUUUUUUGUGACAUCAGCGGUGGUUAUGGAAAAGCACGCUAGAAAAGAAGGUAGUUUGAACCUUUGAUAUAUCAAAUCUAAGUGAACGGUCGCCCAAAUAAAAUAAGGGUUGACAACAUAUAUAAAAAGAAAAAAAUGAUAGACUUAUAUAAAAAAUAAAAAGAGAAAAAUAGGCAAAAGAAAAUUAAAAAAAUGUUUUAUAACUUUUGUGUUUUAAAGUUUUGACAUAAGUUCUAAGUUACAUGGUAUAAGUCAUAUGGUGAUAAGUUUUGCAAAGUGGUAUACCAAGUUGUUAGUAUAAUUUAUAGAAAUAAGUUAUAACAUAUAUGUAUAACUUAGUUAUCUUCUAAAAGUAGAAAGUUACGGAAAUUAUCAUUUCUAAAUAAGGAAAGUUGCGGGAGUAGCUGAUGGUUUGCUGGAUUCGUUACUAGCGAACGAUUGUGGAACUGGAUUUGUGAUAUAAUAGGAGUAAUGUGGAGCUUAUGAGUUGAGAGCAAAAUUGACGCGUGCUUCUUGGACAAUGAUACAUAGGCAUUUUCGUUUGUUUAUGACAAAUAUUGUUUAAUCAUAGACUAACUAGGAUCAAAAAAUUUAUAUCACGAUUUACGGACCAACUGUAUAAUUAGUUUUUGUUUUUAUCUAUAUUUAAUGUUUUAUGUAUGUGCUACAAGAUUCGAUAUGACAGGAAAUCUUUAAAAAAAAUUUGGUUACGAGAACAAGGCCAUAACAAAAUCUUGGCUUCCAUUUCUGUCCGUGGUUCGAAUAUUCUCCUUUGACCAAUUCCGCUGAAAGUGACGGCUACCAUCAAAUCGGAGCACAGAGUUGCCAUCUUUUUGCUCGCUGAUGAUGCCAAUCAAUCCCCUCUCUCGCUCAUGAAUAAGCUCCCAUGGCCGGAAGCCCGGAGGCAACUCCAGACCCAGUCCCUCGCUGACACCAGCACGAACCCACGAGAGCAAGAAACCACGCACCGCGUCGCGUCUCACCCUACCCCCAUCCCAUGGCGGGCUCAGAUCGGAACAACAUCGUCAUCGCCUGCUUCGCCCUGCUCGUGUCGAUCUCCGCUCUCCAAGUCCCAUCCUGCAUCAUCGACGACGAGCGGGGUACUAGUACUAGUACUAGUGCGGGCACUACUACCGCAGCUGCUGUCACGGCAUCCGCGUCCGCUCCGCCUCCCCUCUUCGACGACGGCGCUCUGAUGAAGGCGGCCAUGCUGGCGCUGGCCGGGAUGGAUGCACUCGUCAUCGCCGCGGCGGUCAUCUACAGCCGCCACACGCACCACGCCGCCGUGGGCGCAGGCGGCGGCGGCAACUGGCGUGUCUCGGAGCUCGCCUUCUUCGUCUUGUGCCUGCAGCUGCAGGUCGGCGUCCUCCAGUUCGUCCUGUUCGUCCAGGAGCCCACAGCAGCUGCCCGUGAGCUCGGGGCCAGUGCUGCCCGUGCUUUGCCCUGCGUUGCCUUCGUCACCUUCUUCCUGGGCAUCACGCUCAUCUACGCGCACGUUGACGUUGGUAACGGCGGCGGAGCUGCCGGAGGUGCUGUCGCUGGCGAUGGACCAGUCCCGGCGCCCGCCACGGCCACCGUCAGGCUUCUUGCUGAUAUGACGCUCGGGGCUGCAUUAGCCUGCCUGAUGAGCAUCAUCCUCGCCUUGUUCUACAUCAAAACCAAGUGAGUAUGAGUUCAUUUCCUUAAAUAAUGAAAUACUGUCGUUGUUCUCUUCAUUUCUGGGAUUUGGAAUUCUGAAACGGGGAGCCGGGGACCGCUCCCCGCUCCGCCGCUCGAUGAGGAAGGGGAUACGUCGUGCGGUUUCAAUUCUUUGGGGAGCAGGAGCACAGCUGCUGAGGCCGGAGUUGGAGGUGGUGGUCAGUGGUGCACUGAAUCUGAUGCCUGAUGCAUGCAAGCUGCUGCUGGAGUGCUCACCAAAGGCAUGCUAUAGGUCAAGAUCGCGGGCGUUCUAGGCUCUAGCCAACAUCACCGGACACCAUGUUGAGCCGUUGAGGUUGGGUUUGGUUUGGGUGAAGGAUAGGCGUCGUGACGGCCUAUAAAACCCCACCCCACUAGCAGGGGCCGCCCACCUCCCUUAGCUUGCCGCCGGUGAGGUCGCCGGAGCCGUUGAGCUGGAAGACGUCUCUCUCUCUCUCUCUCUCUCUCUCUCUCUCUCUCGUUGUGAAAUCUCAGCGACUUGUUGAGGUGGGGAGCGAGCGCCAGCGGACUAGGGGCCGUUCAUCCUGUCGUCUCGUGCCCGACGACAGACCUGCACUACACGCUUUGCGACGGCGUCGGGUCACGUAGUCACGAGUGCGAGGGCGACGCGCACCGGCGCACGCCAAGACCGACAGGAUGAACGGCCGAACGUGCCGCCGGACGCACUUCAGCUGUUGAGCAGCCGGCAGCGCCACCGCGUGGUCCUGGGCUUGGCCGGCCGUUUGGGGACUGUACGGUCGUGCGCUUCUGAUGAUCUUGUUCUUAUAUCGCCGCUCGAGGGCGCUUACAUCUUACAGUAGCUGAAUUCAAUAUCUUAUAUAUCUUUUUUUUUGAAGGCAAUAAUAUCUUAUAUAUCUUACAGUAGCUGAAUUCAACUUGUCAAUAAUCAGCUCUUUCACUGACCUUUUCCCCAUUAAAAUCUACUUGUUCGCUCUUUGCAAUAUUCAGUUAUUUUGUUAUUACAUGCUGAGAAAUUCCCUGAAUGUUCGUUAUCAAUUUUUCUGUGUGCAGGUGACAUUCAAAUAUACAAUUGAGGCGUUGGUGAACCUGAGAAUUACAUACCUAAACUACUUACGUAGUUUGGUGAACCAUCUGAUCUGAUGGUUCGUGCAUUAUUGGCAUAUACUAUGAUCUGGCUGUAAUAAAAAUCUCCUGAAAGAUAAGUGCCUUCUGCUUGGCUAUUUAUUUUGAAAAAAAAGUGAGGCCUACGACAGUUUGGGCCUUGUUUAGUUUUUUUUUUUUUUGCAAAAUGGAGUCUGUAAUACUUUCGUUUGUAUUUGACAAAUAUUGUCCAAUCAUGAAUUAAAUAGCCUCAAAUGUUCAUCUCGCAAAUUACAGACAAACUGUGCAAUUAACUAUUUUUUAUCUAUAUUUAAUGCUCCAUACAUGUGCCAUAAGAUUUGAUGUAAUGAAAAAUUUUAAAAAAAUUGCAAAAGUUUUUAGAAACUAAACAUUAGCCAAGAUAUAUGGACUUGAUGGACGUAAAUGUUCCAACUCCUGAUCAUAAGCAUUAUUAAUAGUAUCUUGACUACCUAUUCUGAUUUUUCGUGGGAGCCAUCGGCCAUAAUUGACAGGUUGAAUGAAUGAACCAUGAACGUCACGAUUCAUGAACUUACUCGACGGGUUCGAUGUGGACCAAUAAAGGUUCUUCCCAUUUGGGCCUUAUUUAUAAUUAGUUUCCGAAGAAAAAAAUUUUGUGAUAAUGUAGUACUUUCGUUUGUUUGUGAUAACUAUUGUCUAACCAUAGACUAACUAGGCUUAAAAGAUUCGUCUCGUCAAUUCCGACCAAACUAUGCAAUUAGUUUUUAUUUUCAUAUAUAUUUUAUACUUUAUACAUGUAUUUAAAGAUUCGAUGUGACAGGAAAUCUUAAAAACUUUUGGGUUUUUUAUGGAAGUAAACAAGGCCUUGGUUUUAUGUCUGAUAUGCGUCACAUAAAUCCUACUAGUACUAUAUAUCAAGGUACAGUAAUAACUACAAUAAGCAAUGGCAAACUGUCCCUGGAUUGGGAUGUGCAGUGGAACAUUCCUGCAGGAUGCAAAACGCACCGAUCGAGCGAGUCACUUAUCCGUUGCUGCUGGACAGCUGGAGUAUCGCGGGGGCACGUCAGCUCACUCGUCGUGCUCGGACUUGGGGCAACGUCGAAUGCAACACGCAGAAGGGCGGCGACGUACCUUUUUUUUUUAAUAAAAGGUUUCCCUUGUUUUAUUACCAUAAAGCGAUUCACAACAGUCAAGAUCCUAGUCUGUGCACCCAGAGCACAACCGCAGCCAUAAGACUAAAAACUGAGCAGCGAACAAAGUGCAAAGCCCAGACAAAACUACUUCCUAUUACAUGGUAUAAUGAUCGCACUUGCUGAGUCCUCCGAAACUGGAACAUUGGAUUGUACCGACGCUAAUGAAUCCAUCCACAUGAUCAUUGGUACUGAGCCAGCUUCUGCCUCCACUAACUGAAUUAUCCUCUCCAGCUUCUCCUGAACUUCCAUCUUGAACAUUGGCAACAAUCCUCUUAGCAUUCUCCCAAUCAUUGCAAAAACUUUCCCCAUUCCACUCCACGGUAUCCCCUGAAAACAUAACAGAUUACGUAAUUUCCACAAAACCCAGAGAACAGCAGAAGACACAAUAUUACAAAUCAUAUAUCUCUUGUUAGCAAUCCACAAGGAGGCAACAGAUUCAAAACCCUCCUCUAACCUCCUAUCCAACCAGACCGUAAAAGAAGCCCAAACAUGUUUAGCCACACAACAAUGGAAGAACAAAUGAAAAUCGACUCUCGAUCAUUACAAAACAUACAAGUCGGAUCACUAACUUCUUUUCUUUUAGCGAGGUUAUCUCUAGUUAGCAGCUUAUUGUUAGCUAAAAGCCACAAGAAGAACUGCACCCUUGGAGGAAUAUUCAAUUUCCACACAGCAUGAAUGAACACUGGAGUAACUCCUCUAUGAUUUAUAAUAGCAUAUAAGGAUUGGACAGAAUAAUGACCAUUAGAGCUAAAGCUCCACAAAAUAUUAUCUUCUUCUUCAGUAAGCCUAAUGCUAUCACCAACUUCACUCAAAUCCUGCCACAUAAGCAUCAAACGCUCUGACACAUUACGUCUAAAAGAAAGCUGUAAUUCCUCUCCAUUCCAGACAUCACUAAUUGUCUUCCCAUGCUGCUCAUUUAAGACAUAUAAAGGCCAGAACAAAAUAGCAAGACUAGUGUUUCCUAGCCAAUGAUCCUCCCAGAACCUAACUUUCCUACCAUUACCAACUACCCAACGAAUGCCCAUAUGAGCAGCUUGCAUCGCCCAGAUAACCCCUUCCAAAAGGGAGAUACCCCUAGAUUAGAACAGCAGAAAAUAUUAGGUUUAUUAGUAUUAUACUUGAAGUCAACCAAUUUAGUCCAAAUGGAAUUGGAGUUCAUAUGGUAUCUAAAAAUCCAAGAGCUUAACAAUGCUAUAUUUAAGCUUCUCAGGUCAGGAACACCUAAGCCACCCAUAUCUUUCUUCUGAGAAACAAGUUGCCAAUUGGCAAGGUGAUACUUAUGCUUGUCCUCGGUAUUAUUCCACAAAAAGUGGCUCAUAUGGGAAUUGAUCAAAUCAAUAGCCCAUUUAGGAAAUUUGAUAAUGGAGAGAAGAUAGAUAGGGAUACUGGCUAAACAUGACUUGAGAAGGGUCAGUCUGCCUGCAUAGGACAGAAGUCUUCCUUUCCAGCCAGCAAUCCUCUUUAAAAUCUUAUCUACAAUAGGUUGUAGAUCUUCUCUUCUUAGUUUAUUGAAAUGCAAAGGCACUCCCAAGUAUUUAAUUGGAAAGUUACUUUUCUUACAGCAGAAAAUCUUUGCAAACUCGUUUGCCCUGUCCUCUCCUACCCCAACUACCAACAAAUCACUCUUAUCAUAGUUAAUUUUCAUGCCAAAUAACUGUUCAUAACAAACUAGCAACCACUUUAGAUUUUCUGCUUUGUCUAAAUCAUUUUCUAGAUGCUCAUGAGAGCGGCUAGGACUAAUCUCAUUUCUGGUCUUCUACCUCAGGCUGAACCUGGGGUUAUUAUCAGCCUUCAAUAUGCUGAUGAUACAUUACUUUCCUCUGAUGAUACGCUCCUCAGGCGGCGACGUACCUUAGAGGAGCGUAUCUCAACAGGGAGCGAUGGAGACGGCUGCCAAGACAGGAGGGAAUUUUAUCUUGGCUCUAUAACUUUCUAAGGAGAUGUUUGGUUAGGAUUGUUAAAGUUUAACAGAUAUGUAGUAUUUUUGUUUUAUUUGGUAAUUAGUGUCAGUCAUGCAUGUUGCCUCCAACUUUCGGUAUACAAACACCUCACAACUUGAGGUAUUCUCGGCAGUGUAUCAAUUAACAAAACAACAACAAAAAAAAAUGAAACAAAAACCUCUCCCCUUCAAAUUCUUGAGAGAACAAAUUAAUAGCAUCACCAAGAAAUACAGAAAAACAAAAGAAUUGAUGAACAAUCUGUCAGCUAAUUAUGUACACUUGCAAAUUCGCAAUCCCCACUCAUGCCCUGCUCAGUGUCGGCGGGCUCUCCGGUCUCUUCACGGCGCUGGCGUACCGGCUCCGCAGCGGGCUCUCCGCGUGCACGGCCGACAUGACGUGCCUCUUGCCCUGCCGGCUGCCCGCCUCCGCCUCCGCCUCCGCUUCCACCUGGUCGUCGUUGGCCACAGUGACAGCGACAGCGUCCUCGACGACCUGCGCCGUUGCCGUCGCCGCCUCGGCCGCGCCGACCGUGAAGACGAAGGGUCCCAUGGGCACGUCGUCGUCGAGCGCCAGGAGCGGCUCGAGCGCGUCGACGACGUCGCGCAUGUUGGGCCUGGCCUUGGGCACGCUCUGCAGGCACUGGUGCGCGACCUUGGCGGCCUUCUCCGCGGCGGUCGCCGAGUACUGCAUCUCCAGGCUCGGGUCCAUGAACCGGUGCAGCCUGUCGGCGCGGCGGAGGUAGGGGCGCGCCCAGUCCACGAGGUUCUGCUCCCGCCGCCCGCGCCGCUUGUCGACGGAGCGCCGGCCCGUGAGCAGCUCCAGCAGCACCACGCCGAAGCUGUACACGUCGCUCUUCGCCGUCAGGUGGCCCGUCAGGAUGUACUCCGGCGCCGCGUACCCGUGCGUGCCCAUCACCCGCGUCGUCACGUGCGUCGCGUCACCCUGCGGCCCUUCCUUGGCCAGCCCGAAAUCCGACAGCUUCGCCGUGUAGUCCUGAAAAAUGAAAUUGCAAACUUGAGGUCAGACACGAUUCGGCAACAUUUGUGUGUGUCUUUUUUUUAGGGAAAUUCGGCAACAAAGUUGUGUUUUUUUGGGGAAAUUCGGCAACAGUUGUUUGAGGAAGACCACUGUGUAUUUGUAGUGGUUGAGAUGAAUACAAAUACAUCAGUGUUUGUUGCGUUCUGCAACUGCUACAAAAGCAUCUGGUUCCAAAAUCCAAACUAACCACAGUAUUAUAAUGCUCCAGCUAUGUUAUUCCUAACGGCCGGCCGGCACCUAGAAUAAAACCAGAGGCUUUUGCUAUAAUUUGUCGGUAGUUGCAAAGCAAAUCAGAUUUGAGCACGAGUGUGCGUCGACUAUUCCUGACUGAAUUCUUAAGGAGGAGGAAGGCUUUGACACGGAACGGUUGACAACGUGCGAGCAAUUACCAUGGUUGGCGUGUAGGUUAGAAACAUUUUCAAUAUAUAGCGGAGAAAAAUACAGUUCCCUUGGUAAAUAAAGAAUCUGCAACGUGCAUGACAACGACUUAAGCACCCAAUGAGGCAAUUCUUUACCGUCCUAAAAUUGCUCGCUCGUCAGUAAAGAGGUCCUAAAAUGUGCUGCAUGCUAGCUGUUAUCUGUUGAUUGAUUUCUGAGGAAGGGAAAAAAAGUACUGUAAAAGAGAUUGGACUCGGUGAGGCUUGCUUACCGAGUCGAGAAGAAUAUUGGAGGCCUUGAAGUCGCGGUAGAUGACGGGCGUCUCGGCCUCGUGCAGGAACGCCAGCCCCUUGGCGGCGCCGACGGCGAUCUUGAGCCGCGUCGACCACGGCAGCGACGCGAGGAGAUCUGCAGCCAAGCACAUGUAAACCGGAUCCGUUACUCAACUGAUCGAUCGGAGACACUCAAAUUAUAGUGUAAUAAGUUGCAGUAGUUCUUACUCUUGAAGAGAUGGUUCUCGAGGCUUUGCCUGGGCAUGUACUCGUACACCAGCAUCCGGUGGUCGUCCUGGUUGCAGAAGCCCACCAGCUUGACCAGAUGCGGAUGGCUCAGCAUCCCGAGGUACACCACCUCCGCCUGUGAUGAAAACAAUUCAAGACAGCGCAACCAGAUCAGGACUCGAUUCAGAUUUCAUCAGCACGCAACCAGAUCAGAACUGUAUGCGAUUGAGAAUCAAAUAAAUCAGCAGGUUGGCAGAGGAGAGAGGGUGACGGAUGGGAAAUGGGAAAACCGUACCAGCCACUCGCGGUGGCCCUGGACGCCGUCGCUGUCGAGGUACUUGACGGCGACGUGCUGCGGCUGGAGCCCCGGGCGGAGGCGGCCGUCGACGAAGCCCUUGUAGACGGGGCCGAACCCGCCCUCGCCGAGGAAGUUGGAGGUGGAGAAGUUCUUGGUGGCGGCCUUGAGCUCGUCCAGCGUGAAGGCGUGCAGCUUGGUGGUCUCCAGCUUCCGCGACAGGUCCUGCAGCGACAGCGACCGAAGGUUCGCCGUGCUCAGCCGCCGCAGCGUCGGCUUCCCGCCGGGACGCCUGCUCGCCGCCGGCCGCGCCGCAGACUCCUGCUCCUGCUCCUGAUGAUGGCCGCCGGCCCCGAAGCACCCCAGCAGGCGCUCCCGAAGCCCCAUUAGGACCAAACCUUGGAAUAUGAUAAUUUUCGUACGUCUACGCUCGCCGGCGAAGAGAGCCUUGGACGGAGCUAGAGAGGGUGUCGGUCGCUGGCGAUUGGCGAGGUGGAGGACACGGCGCGGUGGCGGCAGGGUAUAUAAAGGCAAGUAGGCAGCGGCUUUCUGUGGGUGUGGGUGUGGCUUCGAGGUGGGUGAAGGUUGGGGAAGCGUCGCCUUUUUGACUUUGGGGUGGGGGGUGGCCGGGAGGUUAAUUAUCGCUAAUCUAAUUGGGCAGGUGAUGGAAUUAGCAGGAGUGAGUGCUUGAAUCAUUGGUGAUGCCGGGGUUAUCGGGUGAAAGCUCCGUGAAACGUACUAUCAUCUCAUCUGGCGUUUUUUUUUUUUUUUGUGAACGAUUAUCAUAUGGCGUUGGUGAUCGCUGAUGUGGGCAUCGACGUGUAUGGAUCGACGAUGCCUGCCUGCCUGCCUCGCCGGAGCCGAUGGGGACGCGCCAACAACUGGGGGACGAAACAGGCCGGCCCCCCGUUCUUAUCGGUAGGGACUAGGGAGUGGUAGGGCAGUUAGUUAGACUGUUUAUGUUAGAGUGAUGUGUGCUAGUUACCAGACAGGCCUGCGCAUUGCUAGUAUUUGUUUUCUCGGUUUUAUGGUCUUGUUUAGUUGCUGAAUUUUUUUAUAAAAUGGUAUUAUAGCAAGUUCGUUUGUAUUGGAUACGAAUAGUGUAAUUAGUUAUUUUUUUAUUUAUAUUUUAAUGUUUCACGUAUGUAUCGUAAGAUUCGACGUAACGAGAAAUCUUAAUUAUUUUGUAAAAUGGUUCAGGAACUAAAUAGAGUCAUGGAUAUGGAUGGUAGAUUGGUAGGGCAGCUUAUGGAUCUCUUUUGUAUGGUUGCGUUCCAACUCCCGGCAGGCCAACACGACUGACCGUCUGUAUACUGUACACUCGUACUUGCAGGCCUGGCCUGGCGCAGCCUUUUGUUGUUUGUUUUAAAAACUCGAUCUUUGUCGUUAUUAUUGCUCAUGCAUUUUUGUUUCUUCGUCAUAUACUAGCGGGUGGUUUCGUUAGUUGGUUCGGUUGUGCCUUCUUGUUCAUUUUUUAUUUGUUUUUGUAUUGUUCGAUUCCUUGGUUAGUUGCAUGAUUGAUCUUAAAUAUAGAAGAAAAGGUAGUACGUUGUACCUGUUUUAAUAUAGAGGCAAUUCACGUGCUUAAAAAAUACAGUCGAGAGCUAGCUACUGAACCAUCAGCCCCUGUUGUUAGCUUUUCUCCAAAGACACGAGAGCUUUUUCACAUUUAUGUAUCGAGAAGCUCAAAGAUGCACAAAGGACCAAAGGUUGAUCAUCCACUUCUUAGAGGUGUGUUAAAAUAAGCCCUUCACAGCUAAAGGUCUGACCAUUUCGUUCCCACCGCGCGCCAUCCAGAGUUCUGCUUCAACUCAAACAUACACGCACCAACACCCCAUUCGUGAAGCACAGUAAUUUACUUUCUACCGCUAAAAAAUUAGUUUGCCUGACUGAGCUAAGCUCAAUUUAAAUAUGUAGGAGUAUUUAUCUUUAAGUGGCAUUUUACUUUUGGUAACUGGUUUUUUCGUCGAAUAAAAUUCCAGCAAAGCUCUUUCCGCCUUUUAGAAAACUUAGGCCUUGCUUUCGCCCCAAAAACCAAAAACUUUUCAAGAUUUAUCGUCACAUCGAAUCUUGCGGCACAUGCAUAGAGCAUUAAUAUAGAUGAAAACAAAAAUUAAUUACACAGUUUGUCUGUAAAAUUAUGGGACGAAUCUUUUAAGCCUAGUUACUACAUGAUUGGAUAAUGUUUGUCAAAUAAAAACGAGAGUGCUACAGUGUCAAAAUCCAAAAACUUUUGGAUCUAAACAAGGCCUUAUUUGAUUGAAUUUCCCCCCUACUACUACUAGCUAUGCUCAUACUAUCCCUAGACACUUAAGACAGCAUCUCAUUCAACAUUCUCUAAAAAGAACAUCUCUCAUUCAACACAAAACCAAUGUAUGAACUCAUCCUGUCAUCCACGACCUAUUAAACGGUUCAACUGCACAAACCAUAAAAUCGCGUGGAAGCUUCAAAAGAUACAUACUACGCGUCACCUGGCCCAAGUAUUUAUUACGUAAACACGCCAUCUGACCGAAUUGGAGUUUGUUUCAUAUGUCCUUUUUGAACAGGCCGGUUUUAUCUUUCACACAUAUUUGCUUGUAUAUUAGCAGAUGGCCAGUGGCAAGACCUUUCGUCCUUUUCCCCAAAAAAGAUUAGAAAAUUUAGUUGGUCGUCAUUGUUAUUUCCACAAUCCCGUGGAUGGGUACAAGCAGUAGUUGCAGCAGUUGUUGAAGUCUUUUCAACGAGCCUGCUGUUCCUCUAUCUCGUUCCACUCUCUCUCAAAAAAAAAAAGUUUCCUCUCUCUGUCUCUCUCUCCAAACCAAGAAGAAGAAAACUGGUGGAGAAGCCUGGUAGUGUAACCUGUUGGAUGUUGGAAUAAAUUGACUCCGCUACUUGGUGCUUAUGCACGGUAAUCAUAAGUUAAAUGCAGCCAGCAAUAAAGUGGUAAAACAGUAUCCUCGACAAUAUGAUAAAAAGGGAUAGAAGGUCGCUGUUUCAUCUUCUGGUACAAGAAAGGAAAUGUGGAAUGUCAUGUUGCAAAGUUGUGUCUGAGUGGAAACUAAAGGGGCUUUUGCUUAUAUAUCGUGCAUCCAUUCGGCGCCACGUCGUCAAUUGUGUCUUGUGACAAAAGUGUGGGCACAAUAUUCUGCCACCACAUUGGAUUAGUGCUAUGAUUGAGAUCACACAUAUUCGUCUUUCCUAAGGUAUAGUUCAUUUUAGAUCUUGUUUGGCUAUUUAAUCCAUAUGUACCACUCCGAUACACGUGGAUUGACUUGAGGUGAAUAUGAGUACGUACAACCUAUAAGUUCUUAGUUUUUUUUUCCACCCUACGUCAUGUGUAACUUUAAUCAAAUUUUCUUUAAAAAAUAUAUAUUAGUAUCUAUUAAAUGCAAAUAAACACAUUAUUACAUAGAAAUUUUAAUAAAAACUAAUUAGAUGUUGAUGUAUUUUGUAUAACCUUAGUUAAAGUCAUAAAUGUCUGAUGUAUUAGAAAAUAAAACUAAAAUAGUCUUAUAAUUUAGAAAGGAACGAGUAGCUAUUUUGUCCAUCUUUCCUAAGAUUUCUGCCUACAGAUAGAAUCUUAUAGUUGUUCCUUUUCAUGUAAUCAAAUCUAUUUAUUAGAUCAGAUAUUUUGAAAAGAUAAUUUAGAUGCUCGACACUUGUGCUUCUAGCCCUUUGUUACUUUCACCUUCCUCUUGUACUUCCCCAAUCACUCCUCGGCAAAUGUGUGCUUGCCUUUGUCAUAGUUGAAAUUCUUUCUCAUGUGAUUGUAGCACUUUCUUGAGUGGUGAUUUUGGAGGGUUUCCUAUCACCCUACACUCCAUUGUAUUAAGAUAGGAGUGAAAGAAGUGCAUUUCACGAUGGGUUUCCUUUUUUUACUCCCACAAACAUUGGCUUAAACAAAACAUUGCCCAUUAAGUGUUACUGCUAAGGGGAGUACAAACUAAAAAGACAUUUAGUUCUAUGAUCCAUCUAGAGUUAGAAACUGAGCCAAAAGUGCUAUAUCUAUGUAUAAAAUUGAUCUAAACUCUAUUUUUCUUAAAAACAUUGCUAGGUAAUAGAAGUGCUUAUGUGAUAAAUUAUUAAUAUCGAUGACAUGCAUUUUGAUAAAACUCCUACUUAAAAAAAAUUAGCCUAGCUAUUUUGUCCUCUGUCUCCAAGAUUUAAUUCCUAAAAGAUAGUCAUGAGUAAAUGACGUGACCUUUUAUUUUUUUUUUCUUCUAGGGGAUAGUACUCUUUGAAGCAUUAUUAACUUUAUUAUAUAAGUUGCCCCCGGGCCUGGCCCACAUCAAAGUUCCCUGGUCCCACCUCUAGCAAAAGAUCGUGACAUGAUGACCGCCGCUGUGCGCAACAACGACAACAUCGGCACACAUCUGGGUGAGUGGUGACACUCCUUUCUGUGGGUACCAAUUAUGUUUCGUCCCAAAAGAUAAUAGAGUGACGACUCUCACACACACACAGUUGCACGUGCUGUUAUCAGACCUAGUGCAACGCGGUGGAGAGCGAUCAAAGGCGACCACAGAAAACGCGGUGAAGCUUCCAAACGAGGCCCACGAUGCCCUGCUGUCCUGAGUCCUGACCCGCGCGCGGUCGCGUGUGUUGACUUCAAUUCAAGGACGCACGGCUACGGCUACGGCUACUCCGGGUCCCGUCCCGGAAUGGGCAUGGGAACGGGGGGCUCCGCUCCGGCUGGGCUGGGUCCGUCAGACCGUCACGGGCUCGCGAGAUCUGGCGGUUUCCCUUCCCAUGGGCACACGAGCUUCAAGUCAACGGAAGCGCUCCUCGUGUACCGUACCCAUCGCGCUGUCCUGAUUGCUGGUCCUGCGGGGAGCAGGUGCGCUGUCCUGUUGGGGCUGCAUGCUGCUGCUGCUGCUGGGUCUUCUCUGUUCUGACCGGCUCGCCGUUGUGCCUGCCUGCCGAGUGCCGGCCGAUCGACCGGUCUGGAGCCUCAACUGUGAAUGCACGGCUGCGCAUUUUGUGGCACGUUUUUUAUGCUCACUUGUUCAUGUUUAUACUCCUACUUUUACCUACUACUAUAUAUUGGAGUCGUUGGUUGCACGGUCAGCAACUCAGCACGUCGCGGCAACAUCACAGAGCGUGUUUUGUACUAUAUUCUAUUUCUUGGACCAGUUUAAUUAGUUCAGUGUAGUAGGGGGAUUCAGUGGCUUCAAUCAGACUGGUCACUGUUGAUGGUUAGAGUGUUCAUAUUGAAGUGCAAGUGUGGUUAGUAUACUCAGAUGACAAGUGUUUUCAAAACACAGAGUCAUUGAAAGAAGGGCUAUUAACGUCCAAUCCGUUCAUUGCUGCUGUGUUUUCUAUUCCUGCUGUGCAACAUGUUUUGUAAAGGCCUUGUAUAGUUCGCAAAAAAUUUUAAGAUUAUCUGUCACAUCGAAUAUUUGGUCGCAUGCAUGGAGCAUUAAAUAUAGAUGAAAAUAAAAACUAAUUGCACAGUUUAUCUGUAAUUUGUGAGAUAAAUCUUUUGAGUCUAGUUACUCCGUGAUUGGACAAUGUUUGUCAAAUAAAAACGAAAGUGCUACAGUAGCUAAAAACCAAAAUUUUUAUGAACUAAACAAGGCCAAAAGCAAAAUCUAAGUUAACAAGAAUGUAAAUGAAUAGGUUUGUACUAACUUCCAGUAAAAAAAAAUGAUGAGCAUCUUUCUGCUGGUGGGAGUGCGCCGGAACUUGAAACCAUCCCAUCCAUACCUGAAUCGAUGAAGAAUCAACAAUGCACUAGCGCACUAGUGGAUAGAUACACGGUCGUCUCGUCUCCUCCCAGAAUGCUUGCCAGCCCGGCUCUGGUUGGAUGAAGAACCAAUCAACAAUGAUAUGAAUCCAACCAAGAAGACUUACGACGUGGAAAAGCGUGGCCUGGCAUGGCCUUGUUUCCCCGGUUUCUGUGGUCGACCACGGCUGGUCUCAUCUCAGAUGAGAUAUGAGUACCGGACGCCCUUUUGGGUGUUUGGUUGCUAGCCACAAUUUGCCACACUUUACCUUAGGCAAGUUUGACCAAGUUGGUAAGUGUUUGGUUCACAACUAACCUUAGGUAUGAUUCUUUUGGGCUUCACAUGUCAUAGAGUUAAAAAGUGUGGCAAGAUUCCUUUAGGUAUGGUAAAGUAUGGCAACCAAUUUGCUAGCCACACUUUUUGUGGCUUGCCACACUUGUCUAAAGUUAGUUGUGGUAGAUUGUGUCUAGCAACCAAACAUCCCUUUAUCUUGACUCGAUGGAGCUCCACCCCUUUUGGACCUACUCUACUCUACCUCUACACAACACAGCGGACACCGCCACACGACGUCGAUCGUCGAAAAAGUUUCGGCGGCGCACCGCAUGUCACGCCGGCCCGUCGUUGUUGGUCAAUCAUCGGACGGACAGACAGACGGACGGAGGCGCAUGCAACUGAGUGCGUUCACUGCCACAUGGAUGCCGGCCGAACGAGAUGGGCAAUUGGGCACAGACCGGCCAACUUUCGUUUUUAUUUAACGAACAUUAUCCAAUCAUAAAGUAACUAGUCUUAAAAGAUUUAUCGUGCGAUUUACAGGUAAACUGUGCAAAUAGUUUUUUAUUUUCGUCUAUAUCUCACACCUUUGGAGACUUGAAACUGAAUCUAUUAAUUAUUCAGUAGUAUUUUUAUGAGUAAAGUCCACUACCGGUCUCUAAACUUGUGUUGUCGUGUCAUCCCGGUCCCUAGACUCACAAAUCGAUUGUUUAGGUCCUCAAACUUGUUCAUAUGUGUCAUCCCGGUCCCUAAACUUGCUCAAUUGUGUCAUCCCGGUCCCUAAACUUAGAAAUCAUCCGUUUAGAUCCUCAAAGUUGUUCAGUUGUGUCAUCUCGGUCCCUAAGCUUGGUUUUGAAUCUCAUCUGGGUCAAAACAAAGUGAUCUAACAACUCUAUAUCAAAAAAUAAUUAAUAACUUUUUCAUAUGAACUCAAUUGAAGACAAGUUUUAUACCAAAGUUAUAGUCCUCAGCACAAUCUACAACUUUGUAGUUGAAAAGUUUUUUAUUUGAAGUCGUUUAGUGUUAUAAAUUUAAUUUUAAAUUUUAAAAUCUAUAAACUUAUAAAAAAUAUUUUGGGAACCUAAACGAUUUUAAUUUAAAAACUUUUCAACUGCAAAGUUGUAGAUCAUGUUGCUGCCUACAAUUUUGAUAUAAAGUUUAUCUUCAUUUGAGUUCAUAUGAAAAAGUUAUGAAUUAUUUUUCAAUAUAGAGUUUUUAGAUUCGUCUUGUUUUGACCCAGAUAAGACUUAAAAACAAGUUUAGGGACCGGGAUGACACAACUGAACAAGUUUGAGGACCUAUAUGCGAGAUUUUUAAGUUUAAGGACCAGGAUGACACAACCGAACAAGUUUAGGUACCUAAACGGUCAUUUUGCGAGUUUAAGGACCGGGAUGACACAUCCGAACAAGUUUAGGGACCGCUGAUGGACUUUACUCUAUUUUUAUCUUAUAAUAAAUUAAAAACAUACUUUUUACUCAGUGGCGGAUCCAGAAAUAAUAUUUAGGGGGGGCUGGGCCAAAGAGAGCUAGAGCAAUUGGACUCAAUUAUAUCCCAUACGAAGCUAAACUAUAGCAGUUUUGAACCUUUUACAUGAUAACUAUAAUAAAUAAUCGAAAGCGUAUUAUAAAACGCAUAAGUAUAAAAAUAAAAGAUACAGUUUUUCAUAACUAACCAACAAAGAUCGACGUUCCGCACUUUCGCACUGCUGCAUUCUUCAUGAAUCAUUAGAAGCAAUCUAUAUACAGAAAAAAAUUAGUGACACAAAUUUCAAGUAUACAACUUCAAAGUUUUGGAGGUACAAGAGAACACAUAUCAUACCACUAAAUUGUUCCGAGGCACUAACAUACGCCGUGUUUUCAUGUCUUCAAAUCUUUUUAUGAUUUUGUCAUUCUUGAUGUUUCUAAAUAUCUCCUUCUCAGUGUAGCAUAUCAUUUGGUCAUUGAGCCAUUCAUCACCCAUUCUGUUACGUAAAUCUGUCUUUAUAAUAGACAUAGCAGAAAAUAUCCUUUCAACUGUAGCUGUUGCCACUGGAAGAAUUAAUGUUAAUUCAAUGAGCCGAUAAACCAAUCCAUAAGAUGUUUUCAUAUUGGUCUUCACCAUAAUUUCAGCAACCUUUCCAAGCUCUGUACAUCCAAGAAAGUCUGGACUUUUUCUAGCACGAUUGGCAAAUCCUCUAAGUUGAGCAGGCAAACGAGCAAGGUCACCAACAUAAAAAUCCGCAGCAUAAAUUUCAGCAAGUCUUACAAGUUUUUCCACAUCAAAAUUAGAAAAGCAGUUCCUUGGGUUAAGACAUGCCAUGCAGACUAAUAAUUCUGAACUAACUUCACCAAAUCGAUGAUUCAUCUCACACAAAAUGGCAUCUAUGGCAGCAAGGAAAACCUCAACAUGGAAGAAGUGCUUGUUUGUUACCUUUAGCUUUCUACGUGUAGAUGUCCCUCUAGCAUUUGUUUCCUUGUCCAUAUCUGGCACUUCAAUCUCAUUCUUAACACAAAAUGCUAUCACUCUUGACAACAAGGGAUCCCAUCCACUGUCCCUCAAAUCCUGCAACAGCUCUUUCACAUCUGUGAUCAAAUGUAUUGCCUCAACAAUGUCUUGAUCCUUCCUUUGCAAAGCACGUGAUAGACUAUCAGUAAUGCUCAACAAUUCUAUCAUUAAAUGCAUUAUGAACACAAAAUCAAAGCUCUCCAUUUUACCAAUUAAACCAAAUCCAGCACCAUUGCUUGUUGGUUUAACAGAGUCUUUCUUGACUAUCUCAAGAAUGUCUGUGACAGCUUCCCACAUCACCAAAAUACGAAGUUGAUGCACUACUUGAGCCAGAAUAAUAUGCGUGCAAUGUUCUUUUGGACAUUUUCAACAAUCUGCAAUUUAUAAAAUCUUAUAAUAGAAUUUGAAACAAUUAAAAAUUACAAAGUUGAAGUUAAAAGGAAAAUUCUAAAGAAAACGAACAUGUAUAUUAGUAUAUACCUGCCGCUAGGUGCUUGGUUGCUUGCUGUCGCUUGCUUGCCGGCGGCGGCUUGCGUCUUGGCGUCUUGCAAAUUGCAAUACACCUCAGCGCCUUGCCUGCUCGGCUGCUCGCCGCGCGUGCAGUCCCUGCUCGCGUGGGCGUCCGCCGUCCGGCCAGUGGCCGCUGCCGCCUACCGACGGCGUGCUGGGCUGCCGUCUGCCGCGUCGCCCGUCCGCUGCCGGCCUGCCGCUGCCCGUUGCCGUUGGGAUCCCGUCCGCCGCGUCGCUGGGAUCCCGUCCGCCGUGCUGCUGGCCGCGCAGCUGUCGCCGUCGCCGCCGGCCGCCGCAACGCCGCGCCGCGCGCCCGCGUGCAGGAAAACCUAGGUGCUCUGCUCGACCUCGACUGGCCUCCCCUCCUCCCUCACGAUGGACAGGAAAACAAUGAAAAAAGGCCUGCUUCUUAAUGGGCUCCGAACAGCUUCUCUAUUUUAUAUACUGGGCCACUCAAUGACUCAAAUACAAGAAAAAAAAGCCCAGGAACAAGACUAGCGCCAGCACUCGUCUUCAACCUCUGUCCUCGCCGUCGAGAAUACAUCCAGCCCCUCCUUCCCUAUAGAAAAUGGCUCAAACUUGUAUGGGGGGCUAAGGGGGGGCUCCACUGGCUCGGACAGGGUAGGGGGGGCUAUAGCCCCGGCAGCCCCCCCUUUAGAUCCGCCCCUGUUUUUACUGUAACUUUCCAAACAAACAAAUAAACUCGCUCCGCGGCGGCGACUACGGGCGAAACUGAGACGUGUCGCUUCCCUCGUCUCGUCGUCUCCUUUCCGAAUUCCAACGCGCUGCGCGGCCGUAGUGUCUGUCUGAUUCGCUUUAGACCUUGAUUGGAUGUUGUCAGAUUCACCUUAAUCCACGUGUGUUGGAGUAGAUUGGGUGGAAUUUAGUUCAAUUUCCACUCCAAUCCACCCAACGCACGUGGAUUGAUGCGAAUCCGAAACAAGGCCUUACCUGGGUUGUUGGUGGGCUGGGUUCCGCGAGCAACAGGCCUGCCUUGUCAGAUGGUUUCCAUCUCUGUUCUGUUCGUAUCGGGCCGCUAGGGGGCCGAGGCACUAGGCCAGCACCACACGAGGGCCCGAGUGGGGUUUGCUGGCUAGUUCAGCGGGUAGAAAAUCGUUCCGCGGGCCGAGCUGGUGGGCUGGCAGGACACGUGGUUGAUCUUGUUCCUCGGGGGAAAAAAAACGCUCUCUUCUUCGAGUGACACGUUGACACCGUCUUUGUAAUCAAACGAUUCAUUCCGAGACGAAUCAUCUAGAUCACUCGCUCCCCUCAAAAAGAACAAAAAAAUUCUAGAUCACUCGCUUCUUCAGUGUACUGAUUGUAAAGUGACGUAUAAUCAGUCCUGGUCCUGGACAAAUGACAUGCGCGGGCUACGGCCAGGCUGAUUGCUCGCAGGACUCGGUCGAAGUUGUGCGUGACAGCUGACAAAAUCAGGGCUGUGGCUGCCUACAACUACAAGAAAGUCCACUGGAAAUCUAGGACGUUCCUUCUCCUAACCGCCGCAAGCCUGCAAUGAUUGGAAGGAAAACAGUAAUCAAUUUUAUUAAACUAUGUAUAUGCAGAUUUUCAUAAUGACAGGAUGUGCGUAGGCACAUGCAUAAUAGUCUUCUGUUUCGAAAACAGAAAGUCAAAGCACAGACAAAUCAAAAUCAAAUUACCCGCGAAAGCUUUGGACCUGUCGUCUGUCGACGUGGUCGAAGCAAAAGACCUGCCCAUUUUAAACGUGUUUCAGCCGACGACCGUGUUUCUCUCCGCGGUCGGCGCGCAAUAAAAAUUCCCCGGACACGUCACAUCAACCGUCCGGCCGUCCAACCUGUUUACAGUCGCCCAGAGCCUCUGGUGGCCGUCCGAUCAUCCCGCGGAAUAUCCCCGCGGUUCCCGGUGCAGCCCCCCCAGCACCUUCUCGGAACGGUCCGGAGCUAAUGCUCUGGACCCCCUACUACUUUCUCUUAUCCAAAACCGAUCCAGACUUGAACGUGAGGAGGACUUCAUAUAAAAAUAGGAAUUUUUUGUGUGGCCGUCCGGGGAAAAGGUAAAGGAGGGAAGCUACCGGGCCCUAUAGGGGGGGGGGGGGGGGGGGGGGGGGAGGAGGAGGAGGAGGCAGACGUCGUCGGAGCACUUGCACGCGUUCUUCGCCUCUCACCCCACGGGACGGGAGGCGAGGGCGCGGCGAGCGAGCCGGCGGGCGGGCGGGCGGGCGCAAUCGGACCUGGGGAGGCAAAGGAAGUUCCGGAGAGCUGUAGUUCCUUUUCGCCUCCCCAUUUUCCCUCCUGAUUUGGGUUUGGUCUGCUGCGUCGAUUAGUCCGGCGACCGAAUCCCGCAACAAUCCCAUUCGCCGAGGGAUCGAGCAAGCCAGGCGUGGAUCGUAGGCGGUAGUCCGUUCCUGCCCCUGCUCCUCCUUCGCCUGCUCUUGCCGCGGUCUCCCCUCCGGCCGAUUUGGAGCCGACAGGUUGGUUUGGUGAUCGCUCGAGCUUUUGCAUCGGUGCUGUUCCAUUUGUGAUGGGGGAGAUGUGAAUGCGGGUGGUUUUAAGGGCGUGUUGUUGAUCUGUGGCGAGGAAAUUGCAUGCUUUUGUACAGUAUUGCUGGUCAUCAGAGCCAUCUUUUUGGUCGUUGGAAUGAGGUGGCAGGGUGGUUGGUGUUAGCUUAGAGGGAUUUUGUUCGUAGAGGAAAAAUAUUUGCUUGGCUGGCAUAAUUGUCGGCUUGAAGUGUAAUUCAGAUUGAAUUGUCAUUAUGUUCUUAAAAAAAUGUAUACAUACUUGAUAACAUGCAAACACACAUUCUGUUUCGGUGAUAGGUUCGUGUGAUUAGUUUCAUCAACAAAAGGGAUUUGUUUUUAAUUUUCUGGAUUUAAUUGUCAAUUAAGGCCUGUUUCGGUAGAGAGACUAUGUUGCAAAUCAACCAUGCCAGAAUUCAAGUUGUUCUUCAAAUCUUUUUUAUUACAUAUAUAGCCUAUUAAUCGUUGACUGGUCUGAAAAGUAGCAAGAGCAAGAGCUAGGUUGAAUUGUAUUUUGUCUUUAUAGAUUUAUUUCCAGCAACUUAUGCUAAAUAUUUCGUUUGACAUGAUAUGCGUCAUUUCCUUGCACCUUCUUACUGUGAAAACUUGUUUAUCUGAUUCAGCUUACUUUGUUCCAAUUGACAGAUCAUUAAAUUUUCCUUGUCAUACAUUCCCAACCUUGAUAUAAAGACCUCCUACAUUCAGAAGCCUGUGUUUUGGAAGGAUAUUUCACAAUGAAGCCCAGUCAGUUGAUUCUAUCCAAUCUUGAUAUAGACAGGGGAUACCCAUACAAGUUCCAACCAGAGUUUCCAAUGUCUCAUGAUCUUGGAUUGAAUUUGUUUUCACAAGCUGGUACAGUGCUGGGUACUUCUUUAAGACAUCAUAGGAAGAUUUGUUCUUCAGGAAAUGUAAUGGUCCAUGGAGCUUUCAAUCGCCUCAACAAGCUUUCCCGAGCUCUCUAUUUCUGGCUUUCUAGACCAUCUGAUCCUAAGAGUUUGCGCUGGCUGGCAGCUGUAGCAGCGACCAGUUCUAGAUCUUGUCAGUUGCGUUUCAACCAAAUGGGUUCUCACAUGCAGAAGUUGACUAGACUGCAGUUCAGCUUUCUAGUGAGACAAGAGCAAGCAAUACAACUAAUUUUAGCUAGGCUUGCAAGUGGAACGAUUGGGCGACUAUUGAAUGAGCAGCAACAUGCCUCCAAUCUUCUUACUCUAGCCGGCGCUGCUGCUAUCGUACCACCACUUGAAAAUAUGUGAGGACCAUGCUCCAAUACAGUUUUGUUUGUAUUUGUGAUGUACUCUCCUUAUUCGUUUCUUUCUGUUGUAUAGUUAUCUCUAGUUAACUGAUGAUUUCCAUUUUUGAAUGGACAAGAUCUCCAAUGAUGCUUGCCGAGUCAAUCGCAUCGCGAAAUAUUGAUAGUGAUAUCCGAAGACUUGUUGAUCAGCCUUAUGUAGAAGGAAAAGGCCUAAGUUGUGCUUGCCCUUCUGUGCCUAGUACUAUAUUUCAAGAAGAUCCAAUUGAACCAAAAACUGGAAUCAAAUUCCCAGCAUUUCUGGAAGAUGACUCCAGUCCAUCUGCAGCGGUAUUUUCCUUUUCCUUAAAACCAUAGUUUCUCUUAUUCCGGUGGAAUUGAUUUUAUUUCUUACGUAUAUAGAAUUUUUCAUUUUAAAUCAUUUUCAUUGUUAUGCAAGCUAGUGGUGUAUAACAAUCAAUACAUAAAUGUACCAGCUGGGUACAUGUUUGUGAUUUUUUUCUAUUGAAACUUGCUUCUUUGACAAUUUAGAACUUAAAGUCUACAUAAUUGUAUAUACUGUAUACUGUUAUGCAUCCAGUAUCUGCACAAUGCAAAUUUUUUUAUGGUUUUGAAACAUUGACUUAAAGCUUUCAGUUUUGGUAUAUUACUUUUCAGUUUUCAUAUAGUUCUGUAAAAUUCUUCGUUUUGAUCCCUCCUUGUGACAGUUUCCAUUGAUAAUUAAACCUUCAGGUCCUUGUUGGGAUAGGUUUCAAAGGCAUGAGAGUAAUGAGGGUCAAAAAUCUGAACCUGUAUGCUUUUGGUUUAUGUGAGUUACAGAAUUUUUUCAAUUGGUUCUGUUAUGUAUCAGUUUGCCAGUGAAUACUGCUUAUUUGACAAGCCUCUCUUUGCUACUGAUGAAAUUUUCUUAUAGAUAUGCAACCGACUUCUAUCCAGGAGAAGCUGGGUCCUAAGUAUGCUUCAUUUCCAACGGACAAGCUGAUGGACAACCCUGAUUUCUAUAGCGAUCUUCUCAGGUAUAUUGAUACAUCAUUUUCAUGAUAGUUCUGUACUUGUUGCUUACCGCAAGGUCCUGUUUGUAAAGGAGGUUUUGGGAUCUGUUUCUUAGGAUUUAGUUCUAAAGCCUAAAAUUUCUAGAGCAAAUCUCAUCUCCCAGUCAGGCCCUACGUGAGUUUUUGGUGGCCAUACAUUUUGGGAAAUGCAUAGGCCUAGCACUGACUAAUGCGGCUGCACAAAAUUCAGCUCCCUUGUUAAGUAAUGUAAGACCAAAGGUGCAUAUGGAACAUCCACUGAGCUGGAUAUUUUUUGUGCUAGGUGGUUACUGGUAGCAAUACUUGCUAUCAGUUGAUAUGUUAUCAUUAAAUACAUUCCUGCUUAUAUCUGCAUUUGUAUUAGGUCAUCCAUGUCAGAAUGUAUGUGACACAGGUGCUCAUGCAAAGUUUACAGCCUCAUUUGCAUAUAUACAAUCACUUAUUAAUCCUCAGAGUACAGAUUUUUGUUUAGGGGACAAGCAGAUACCGUAAGAUUCUGAAUGUUUACAUCGAAUCUGUUGUUUUGGAGUAGGACAAUAGUUCUCCUUGUUCAUCCUGUUUUCUUCUGAUGCUAAUAAACUUGUAUUGGUAUUUUCCAGGGAAAACCUUGAUAUGAGGGUUAGGUUGGUGGUUAACUACAAUGGCCUUAGCGUUGGUGCAGUGCGAGAGUAAGAAAAACAAAACUGUCAUGAUUCUUCGCUCUCAGCGAAAUUAUGUUGUCUUUUGAAGACAAAACUCACAAUCAUUUUAUGUUUCUUGCAGCGUGUUUGAGAAGUCCCUUGGCCUGCGUCUGCAGAAGGUACUUUGUGGCUCAGCUGCUACUGCAAUUCUUUUCUAGUUAUGUCGAGUGUAGAACUGACUUACAGGUCUUCUGCAUUUCCUUUCAACCAGAUAAAUCCUAACACUGACUUUCACUGCUUGAAGACCUUUGGUUCUCACUUCACAGAAGAUAUCGCCAUACCUUCGGUAAGGUCUAAUCCAUCAUUUGAGGUUCUAUAAGUUUAAACAUGAUCGCUUGACUAAUUAACUACACCCUCUGUUCCUUGCAGUAGCAAUAAACUUACCUUUACCAACCUAGGAAACUACGUGGCAUUGUAAAUAAGAAGAAAUGUGCUCCCAAAUUUUGAGUCCAAGUGGACUCAAACCUGGCUAGUGAUGUAAAACCACACCUACCAUCAAUUAAGAUAGGCUCGGUUCCUACAAUUAGUACGAUAUUUUUUAUAAAGAAGAUUAAAGAAAAUCUGUCUGAACAAUAUUGCAACCAAGUAGAACUAGCUAAAUAAUUACUGUGCCCUAUAAAUCUCUAGUAGGUUGAUAAUACAGAAAAAAAAAAUC
rnacentral:lncRNA from 1 species